CGAAUGACUACCCUCAUUUCCUGUGUUGGGGUCACUUCAUUUUUCCUGUCUUGGUUUCCAUAAGAGGCAGUGGACCAGAUGGAGGAGAACUGAAGGAUGAUCUAUCAACUCUCCCUGCAACAUUUGGAGGAUUUUCACUUCCUUUUAAUCAGGAGCAGGCUGUUCUCAGAGGAUCACCUUGCCUCCCACUGCCCUACUUGCUCCCAAAGCAGACAGCGAGAAUUUGAUUUUACUAUCAGAGCUAGGACUGCGGGAAAAGGGCAGCAGGUCGGAAAAAGGAUGUACCCCACAACUUUGCCUUGAUGCUUUGGGUGUCUGGAAAACAACUUGCAUGUCUUUACCCAGAAGUGAAAGAAGAUAUAAUUGGGUAUUAAAUGAUGAAGACUUUUCUCCCAAUAAUCAAGCACCGAGUCAAGAGAAUCACAGUUAUCAGUAACUUCCGAAGUGCAG
rnacentral:lncRNA from 1 species